CCUGUAUUCAUGAGCUCUGCUUAGGCGGCCAUCUUUUGCUCAUGUCUGACUAAAUGCUUGCCAGCAGUGGCACCUUCAGCCCUGGGUGGUCUGCUCCUCUCAUUCAAACAACUGGCUUGGGCUGAAUGGAGCUGGCAGUGAGGGGAGAUGGAGAGAGAACGAGGCUGGGCAAGAGGAUGGAGAGAAAGUAAGAUAAUGGAAGUAUGACCCCCUUUGGCUGAAGUCCGCUCUAGGUGAUCUCAACUCUUUCACCCCAGUUUACCUCCGGAGCCGGACUGAAAGUGAUUUGGGGCUUCUGUAGCGCACCUGAAACAGAUAAUAAAUACAUUCCACAUUAUCCAGCCAUAUUGGGCCAGUGCCUCUACCGAAGUGGGCACUCAUAGGAGCAGAAACGGCAUGACCACAGCCAAGCUGUCUACAUACCACAUCAGCAUUGCUCAUUCCCCACUCAUCAUCACACACAGUUCCCCACUGGCCUUUAUAGAAGAUCUCCACUCUACCAGAGCAUUGACCUGAGCCGCCGACCGCCCGUAUCUGUUCUGCAUAUGAAAACAGAAAUGAAGUGAGUCCAAAUGGGACAGUCCUGGAGACAUGUAUUUACAUAGAAUUUUAGUAUAUAUGUUGUUGUAAUUACAUUUGCAUGUACUAAUACACAUACAUUUUCAUUUUGAAAGUACUCUUUGUCCCACCAUCAUAUCAGUUGUAAUUUCAACAGCAAGAAGGGAAACAAUGGUGGACUGACAGAAA